GAGGAUGCGAGCGUUAUCCGGAUUUAUUGGGUUUAAAGGGUGCGUAGGCGGACCGGAAAGUCAGCGGUAAAAGCCCGGGGCUCAACCCCGGCGAGCCGUUGAAACUGCCGGACUAGAGACGGCGAGAAGUACGCGGAAUGCGCGGUGUAGCGGUGAAAUGCAUAGAUAUCGCGCAGAACUCCGAUUGCGAAGGCAGCGUACCGGUGCCGGACUGACGCUGAGGCACGAAAGCGUGGGUAGCGAA
rnacentral:rRNA from 1 species